rnacentral:rRNA from 1 species
CCUACGGGUGGCAGCAGUAGGGAAUCUUCCACAAUGGACGAAAGUCUGAUGGAGCAACGCCGCGUGAGUGAAGAAGGGUUUCGGCUCGUAAAGCUCUGUUGGUAGUGAAGAAAGAUAGAGGUAGUAACUGGCCUUUAUUUGACGGUAAUUACUUAGAAAGUCACGGCUAACUACGUGCCAGCAGCUGCGGUAAUACGUCGGUGGCAAGCGUUGUCCGGAUUUAUUGGGCGUAAAGCGAGUGCAGGCGGUUCAAUAAGUCUGAUGUGAAAGCCUUCGGCUCAACCGGAGAAUUGCAUCAGAGACUGGUGGACUUGAGUGCAGAAGAGGAGAGUGGAACUCCAUGUGUAGCGGUGGAAUGCGUAGAUAUAUGGAAGAACACCAGUGGCGAAGGCAGCUCUCUGAUCUGCAACUGACACUGAGGCUCGAAAGCAUGGGUAGCGAACAGGAUUAGAUACCCCAGUAGUC